rnacentral:rRNA from 1 species
AGAGUUUGAUCAUGGCUCAGGACGAACGCUGGCGGCGCGCUUAAUACAUGCAAGUCGAGCGAGAACCAGGGCUUCGGCCCUGGGGACAGCGGCGAACGGGUGAGUAACACGUGGGUAAUCAACCCCCGACACCGGGAUAGCCCGGGGAAACCCGGAUUAAUACCGGAUGCCCCAUCUGGCUUUCGAGCCGGCUGGAAAAGGGUAGCUUCGGCCUCCGGUCGGGGACGGGCCCGCGGCGGAUUAGCUUGUUGGUGGGGUAAUGGCCCACCAAGGCGACGAUCCGUAGCUGGUCUGAGAGGACGAUCAGCCACACUGGGACUGAGACACGGCCCAGACUCCUACGGGAGGCAGCAGUAGGGAAUCUUGCGCAAUGGGCGAAAGCCUGACGCAGCGACGCCGCGUGAGGGAAGAAGGCCUUCGGGUUGUAAACCUCUUUCAGGAGGGACGAAGCCACUCGGGUUAAUAGCCCAGAGGGUGACGGUACCUCCAGAAGAAGCCCCGGCUAACUACGUGCCAGCAGCCGCGGUAAUAC